AUGAUGGCCCCUUUGGCCGGGCAACUCCACAACGCCGUCGACGGAUUGUGUCCGCUCACGUUCGUGUGGGCUCGAAACACACACAAAACGAGGCCUAUGUGGACGCAAAUAGACGAGCGCCCGUUUUUUGUCCGCCCGCUAUUUAUUUCAUACCCAAAUUUAGGCCGGGUUUGCGUCGGCGUGGACAGGGCGUGGACGCGCACGACGCCCGCCCUUGACGACUAUGGCCAAGAGGAAGAAGAUGAAGUGGACAUCGAGGGGGAGCCUUUGUUUGCCGACAAGCUCAUUCACCAAGCCAAUGCGCAAAGGAAGAAAAGGCAAAGCACUCGGACGAAGGCAUACACAAAGGACGAGGACAAGCUCAUUUGCGAAUGUUGGAGAGAUAUUGGACAAGAUCCCAAGAUCGGCGGCGAGCAAAAAGGAUCAACCUUUUGGUUGAGAGUUCAUGCCCAAUUCCAUGAACGCAAGAAGUUCCCCUCCUACAAGUUUGAGAGCAAGCGUGGUUGGGUAUCCAUCUCCAAGAGUUGGGGGCUCCUCCAACAAGAGUGCAACAAGUUUUCUGCCACCCUUGAGAGCAUCAAAGCCUGCAUACCAAGUUUUGGAGCAUUCAAGGCCCAAUAUGGGAACAAGCCGUUUACCCUCACCCAUUGUUGGAUGAUCUUUGAUCAUGAGGAGAAGUUCAAGGAGCAAUAUCCCACCCUCAAGAAUAAUGUAGGGCCGGACGCCGUCACGGACCAUGGCGGGGAAGGAAGCGGACGCAGGGAAAUACCAACUCCAAGAAGGGGAAGAAGUGUGAUGCAGCGACAUUUGCCUUCUAGGAAACUUUGCAAAAAAAAGCUAAAGAUGGAGGCCGACAUACAAGCAAAGAAGCUAGAGAUGGAGGCGGACAUGCAAGCGAAGAAGCUCGAGAUAGAGGCGAACAAUGCCAAGACCAAAGCAAAAGAGGUGGCACUCGCUUGCAUGGUGAAGGAGGUGGAGAUCAUGACGGUGGACUUGAGUAAGGUUUCCCCGAGAAGAAGGCCUUGGUUCGAGAAGAGGCAAAAGGAUAUGCUCGAGCUAGAUGGUUGA
rnacentral:rRNA from 1 species